UACGUAGGGGGCAAGCGUUGUCCGGAAUUAUUGGGCGUAAAGAGCUCGUAGGCGGUUUGUCGCGUCUGCUGUGAAAACUCGGGGCUUAACCCCGGGCCUGCAGUGGGUACGGGCAGACUAGAGUGCGGUAGGGGAGACUGGAAUUCCCGGUGUAGCAGUGAAAUGCGUAGAUAUCGGGAGGAAUACCGAUGGCGAAGGCAGGUCUCUGGGCUGACACUGACGCUCAUGCACGAAAGCGUGGGGAGCAAACAGG
rnacentral:rRNA from 1 species